UACGUAGGGUGCGAGCGUUAAUCGGAAUUACUGGGCGUAAAGCGUGCGCAGGCGGUUCUGAAAGUCAGCUGUGAAAGCCCCGGGCUUAACCUGGGAAUUGCGGUUGAAACUACAGGGCUAGAAUCUGGCAGAGGGGGGUGGAAUUCCACGUGUAGCAGUGAAAUGCGUAGAUAUGCGGAGGAACACCGAUGGCGAAGGCAAUCCCCUGGGCCUGCACUGACGCUCAUGCACGAAAGUGUGGGGAGCGAACAGG
rnacentral:rRNA from 1 species